rnacentral:rRNA from 1 species
GAUGAAUGCUGGCGGCGUGCCUAAUACAUGCAAGUCGUACGGAAAGGCCCUUCGGGGUACUCGAGUGGCGGACGGCUGAGUAACGCGUAGGAACGUGCCCCAAAGUGAGGGAUAACCUCGAGAAAUCGAGGCUAAUACCGCAUAUGGUCUUCGGAUUAAAGCUUCGGCGCUUUGGGAGCGGCCUGCGUACGAUUAGAUAGUUGGUAGGGUAAUGGCCUACCAAGUCGACGAUCGUUAACUGGUCUGAGAG